UGGAGUUCAAACGUGUGCUCUUCCGAUAGUAUAUUAAUGGGUUUUCAAUACUCGAGAGUAAUUAUUGCGAUGUAACGUAAAUUAUUAUUGUCAGAAACAAAUUUAUUUAAAUAAAUCGUGGAAAUUGAAGGAAUGAUUCAUUUCC